UACGUAGGGGGCAAGCGUUAUCCGGAUUUACUGGGUGUAAAGGGGGCGCAGACGGCGAUGCAAGCCAGGAGUGAAAGCCCGGGGCCCAACCCCGGGUCUGCUCUUGGAACUGCGUGGCUGGAGUGCAGGAGGGGCAGGCGGAAUUCCUGGUGUAGCGGUGAAAUGCGUAGAUAUCAGGAGGAACACCGGUGGCGAAGGCGGCCUGCUGGACUGCAACUGACGUUGAGGCCCGAAAGCGUGGGGAGCAAACAGG
rnacentral:rRNA from 1 species